AUCUCUUGGACUAUAGGGGUCAAGAGAUUUGUGGUCACUCAUCGUUGAAUGUAAAUUCAACGGUUCACUCACUCUUGCACUCCUUUUAAGAAACUUUUUGAACCAUUGGAUUAAUAUCCAACGGUGAGUGACCACAAUCUCUUGGACCACAGAGAAUCGGGACUGCUGAUUUUAAUACCAUACAUAAAUAAUGAUCGUCAAACUCAAUUGAUCUUCAAGUCUUAAAUAAUACAUAUUAAAUUAAAAUAUUCUAUACUAAAUAAAUUCUAGACUAAUGAUAUUGCUCCGGCUAUUUAAUCUCUUGCAUCACUAAUUUCAUUAGCAUUGUCCUCACUCAUGCAAAUGGGUGUGUUCCCUGCUUGAUUUGCGCAAGAGCUUUCUUCAUCUACCACAUCAAGAUCAUGCAAAUUGUGCAAAAUUCCAUUAGGGCCCCAAUAAUGUCACUUCAGACACCAUCAUAUUUGUAUAUAACCAAAUUG
rnacentral:lncRNA from 1 species